CCUACGGGAGGCAUCAGUGGGGAAUAUUGGACAAUGGGGGCAACCCUGAUCCAGCCAUGCCGCGUGUGUGAAGAAGGCCCUCGGGUUGUAAAGCACUUUCAGUGAGGAAGAACGCCUGGUGGUUAAUACCCAUCAGGAAAGACAUCACUCACAGAAGAAGCACCGGCUAACUCCGUGCCAGCAGCCGCGGUAAUACGGAGGGUGCGAGCGUUAAUCGGAAUUACUGGGCGUAAAGCGCGCGUAGGUGGCUUGAUAAGCCGGUUGUGAAAGCCCCGGGCUCAACCUGGGAACGGCAUCCGGAACUGUCAAGCUAGAGUGCAGGAGAGGAAGGUAGAAUUCCCGGUGUAGCGGUGAAAUGCGUAGAGAUCGGGAGGAAUACCAGUGGCGAAGGCGGCCUUCUGGACUGACACUGACACUGAGGUGCGAAAGCGUGGGUAGCAAACAGGAUUAGAUACCCCUGUAGUC
rnacentral:rRNA from 1 species